AACGUACGCUGGCGGCACGCUUAACACAUGCAAGUCGAACGAAGUAGCAAUACUUAGUGGCAGACGGGUGAGUAACAUGUGGGUAUCUGCCCUUUGGCCUGGAAUAACACGAGGAAACUUGUGCUAAUACCGGAUAAGUCUUUACGGAGAAAGCUUUAUGCACCAUUGGAUGAGCCCGCACUUGAUUAGUUUGUUGGUGGGGUAAUGGCCUACCAAGACUGUGAUCAAUAGCUGAUUUGAGAGGAUGAUCAGCCACAUUGGGACUGAGACACGGCCCAAACUCCUACGGGAGGCAGCAGUGGGGAAUCUUGCACAAUGGAGGAAACUCUGAUGCAGCGAUGCCGCGUGAGUGAAGAAGGCCCUUGGGUUGUAAAGCUCUUUCGUCGGGGAAGAAAAUGACUGUACCCGAAUAAGAAGGUCCGGCUAACUUCGUGCCAGCAGCCGCGGUAAUACGAAGGGACCUAGCGUAGUUCGGAAUUACUGGGCUUAAAGAGUUCGUAGGUGGUUGAAAAAGUUAGUGGUGAAAUCCCAGAGCUUAACUCUGGAACUGCCAUUAAAACUUUUCAGCUAGAGUAUGAUAGAGGAAAGCAGAAUUUCUAGUGUAGAGGUGAAAUUCGUAGAUAUUAGAAAGAAUACCAAUUGCGAAGGCAGCUUUCUGGAUCAUUACUGACACUGAGGAACGAAAGCAUGGGUAGCGAAGAGGAUUAGAUACCCUCGUAGUCCAUGCCGUAAACGAUGUGUGUUAGACGUUGGAAAUUUAUUUUCAGUGUCGCAGCGAAAGCGAUAAACACACCGCCUGGGGAGUACGACCGCAAGGUUAAAACUCAAAUGAAUUGACGGGGACCCGCACAGGUAGUGGAGCAUGUGGUUUAAUUCGAAGAUACGCGCAGAACCUUACCAACACUUGACAUGUUCGUCGCGACUCUAAGAGAUUAGAGUUUUCGGUUCGGCCGGACGAAACACAGGUGCUGCAUGGCUGUCGUCAGCUCGUGUCGUGAGAUGUUGGGUUAAGUCCCGCAACGAGCGCAACCCUCACUUUUAGUUGCCAUCAUUAAGUUGGGCACUCUGAAAGAACUGCCAGUGAUAAGCUGGAGGAAGGUGGGGAUGACGUCAAGUCCUCAUGGCCCUUACGUGUUGGGCUACACACGUGCUACAAUGGUAUCUACAACAGGAAGCAAGACUGCGAGGUCAAGCAAAUCCUUAAAAGAUACCUCAGUUCGGAUUGCACUCUGCAACUCGAGUGCAUGAAGCUGGAAUUACUAGUAAUCGUGGAUCAGCGUGCCACGGUGAAUGCGUUCCCGGGUCU
rnacentral:rRNA from 1 species